CAAUCAGAACUCAAAGGGAGGGAGGUUCUCUGAGAAAAAAAGAGGAAGCAAUAACUGGCCAGGUCUGAAGGGAAGAAGAAAAACAAAAUUAACACGAUUUACACUGAUCUAAAGCCUGUGUGGCGCUUUCCUUGGUGACUGGGAAUUCACAAGAGGAAACUGAUCCCAGGUCUGUACGCAGAUGAAGGUUGUCUGUUUGCCAAAAGGGAUGAGAACAAUUUCCGUUCCUCUUCUGGAUCCUGCAGGCAGCUGCUGCUCUGUCAGAAACAAGCUACAAACACAAGUGGCAGAAACUAGAAAACGACCGGCAUAUUCGUCUCGUCAAGAGAACAGCCCGCCGGGGGAGGAGAGAGGUCGGAGCCGGCACACGGCAGCCACCUCCGUCAGACGGAGCUCCAGUCAGCAGCCGAAGAGACUUGAGCUCAGCCAGAACAAACCCCAGCACCGACAGUCACAGGGGCUGCUGGACCUGUUGGACCUGUGUGGCGGCAACAAGAGGGAGUCUGCAGUUCUCCGGUGCUGUGGCUGAACUUGAGCUAACUGCUAACUGAAGCUACGCUGUUUCCUGGGGCUGCAGACAGCUAGUGAUGGCAGUGUGAUACUGAAGCUUCGAUAUGUGCUUCAAACUCUGGACUACAAUUCCAUAGAACCACUGCUUCAAAGCUUGCUUCAAAUCACGUGACAUAUGACAUCCGAAGCAGUAACUGCUUCAUUUCCUGAAUGAAUCACCAGACUGGUUUGCCGUCCAAUCAGGUGAUUCGCUGCCACUGCCUCGUCUCGAUUCUGACCGGUUGAGACAGUUUUGAAUUUGAGCGCCUCAACACUUCAUAACCGUUCUAAACAAUGCACAAUUUGUGGGUUGUUGUCAUAGUAGUAUGCGUUAUUGCUGUUGAGUUGUUGGUAUUUGUAUUGGAUCAUUAUGGAGCCAGCCAACUAGCGAAAACUAUUUUUAUGCACGCCAGCAUCAUCUAUUCCUUGUGCGCAAGUAAAGAAACCAGAUCUCAAUCUGUUAAAAGAAUAAUGUACAUCCCACAUAAAAAUGCGCAGCCCCGGUGCCGCAGCUCGUAGAACAGGCGUUCCCUCAAUUAAAGGCUUGCCGCAGCAGCCCGGUAUUCUAAUCCGACCAGUGGCCAUCUGUUGCGUUUAAUUUCCCUUAUCUCUAUCCAAUAUUAAACUGUACUAUCAUUUAAAGCCUAAUAAGCCCACAUUUUCACAUAAACACGAUCAUCAAUCUUUAUCUUUAAAUAGAACAUGAUAUUCAGUCUUAGAUGUGUGUGCCAAAGAAUUUUCAAGGCAAAGAUACUGUGGCCUUGCACUUCACCAGUAGCAGUCACUGUACCUGAAGCUUCGAGUAAUGAACCCAUUUCCGAAACAAUUGGCUGAAGUGGUUCAGUGCUUCACAAAAGCUUCAUUUGCCCAUCACUACAGACAGCUAUACACUCGGCGAAACAGCCUCCUGACAGCUGUGAGGAUGAAGCGAGGUGGUGCGGGUGGUUUCUCGUUUCUGCCACUUUGAAUGUAAUCCAAUAAACAAACUAUAAAACAGACACAGAACAUGGCUGUAAUAUUUACAAGUGAGUCAGGCAGCUGUACUUCUUCUCCCUCUGUACUGAGAGCAGACUGCAGCUACAGUGACUCACUAUCACCUCUAGAGGAACAAGUGAUAUUACAGACUGGACGGAGCGCAGCUAGCUGUUAGCAUGCUAACUUCAGUAGAUAUCUCUGCAACACAACACAUAGACUUUUGUCUUUGACAUAACGCCAACACUGUUAC
rnacentral:lncRNA from 1 species